AUGUCGCGCCCACCGUGGCCGAGGGAUCACUACGACGACGAAGAUCUCUGCCUCCUGGAAUUGGACGGUAGGCUAGCCGUGACGGCCCCUGAACUCCAUGGAGAUUCCGUGGAGCUCUGGGUGCUCGACAGCUCGAGGACUAUGACGACGACCAGAGCUGGUCACACCGCUUCCGGAUCGUCCUGCCGCCGCGGUUCUGUCCAUAUUGGUGGACGGGCACCGGCGUCCCCAAUGUCGUUUUCGUGGCAAGCUACACACAUAAUGUCAAGGCGCUGUACCAUCUUACCGAGAAGAGGAUCGUCAUGCAGAUGA
rnacentral:rRNA from 1 species